rnacentral:rRNA from 1 species
CUUAGCCUACGGGGCGCAGCAGUGAGGAAUAUUGGUCAAUGGGCGGAAGCCUGAACCAGCCAAGUCGCGUGAGGGAAGAAGGCCCUGCGGGUCGCAGACCUCUUUGGACGGGGAGCAAGGCCGCCGACGUGUCGGCGGAAGGAGAGUACCCGUAGAACAAGCAUCGGCUAACUCCGUGCCAGCAGCCGCGGUAAUACGGAGGAUGCGAGCGUUAUCCGGAUUUAUUGGGUUUAAAGGGUGCGUAGGCGGACUGUUAAGUCAGCGGUAAAAGCCCGGGGCUCAACCCCGGCGAGCCGUUGAAACUG